rnacentral:rRNA from 1 species
GAGGAAUAUUGGUCAAUGGACGAGAGUCUGAACCAGCCAAGUAGCGUGCAGGAUGACGGCCCUAUGGGUUGUAAACUGCUUUUGUAUGGGGAUAAAGUCAGUCACGUGUGAUUGUUUGCAGGUACCAUACGAAUAAGGACCGGCUAAUUCCGUGCCAGCAGCCGCGGUAAUACGGAAGGUCCGGGCGUUAUCCGGAUUUAUUGGGUUUAAAGGGAGCGUAGGCUGGAGAUUAAGUGUGUUGUGAAAUGUAGACGCUCAACGUCUGACUUGCAGCGCAUACUGGUUUCCUUGAGUACGCACAACGUAUGCGGAAUUCAUGGUGUAGCGGUGAAAUGCUUAGAUAUCAUGAAGAACUCCGAUUGCGAAGGCAGCAUACGGGAGUGUAACUGACGCUUAAGCUCGAAGGUGCGGGUAUCGAACAGGAUUAGAUACCCUGGUAGUCCGCACAGUAAACGAUGGAUGCCCGCUGUUAGCGCCUGGCGUUAGCGGCUAAGCGAAAGCAUUAAGCAUCCCACCUGGGGAGUACGCCGGCAACGGUG